rnacentral:rRNA from 1 species
CUUCCAGACUCCUACGGGAGGCAGCAGUGGGGAAUAUUGCACAAUGGGGGAAACCCUGAUGCAGCGACGCCGCGUGGGUGAAGAAGUAAUUCGUUAUGUAAAGCUCUAUCAGCAGGGAAGAAAAUGACGGUACCUGAGUAAGAAGCCCCGGCUAACUACGUGCCAGCAGCCGCGGUAAUACGGAGGAUGCGAGCGUUAUCCGGAUUUAUUGGGUUUAAAGGGUGCGCAGGCGGAGGCACAAGUCAGCGGUAAAAUCGCGGGGCUCACCCCCGCUCCGCCGUUGAAACUGUGUCCCUUGAGUGCGCGAAGGGUAGGCGGAAUGCGUGGUGUAGCGGUGAAAUGCAUAGAUGUCACGCAGAACUCCGAUCGCGAAGGCAGCCUACCGGCGCGCAACUGACGCUCAUGCACGAAAGCGUGGGUAUCGAACAGGAUUAGAUACCCUUGUA